UCUCAUUUUCCUUGGAAAAAUCCUCUUUUCUUUUAUACCUCAACUCCCAAGCUUCCCUCCAUUUUUCCUCACCAUGCCUACUCAUCAUCCCUGCUAGCAUCCACCAAACUUCGUAUCUCUACAAUUUCUCUCGCCGACUCAAUCCCCCGAUUCAGCAACGCCUAGGGUUUCAAAGCUACCGUCACAGCGGAAUGAUCAUAGAAGUUGAAGUUGGAGCUUAACGUGUUGCAUGUACAUGGCCACUGAACUAAGCCGUGAAUUGAUGAAACUUUAGCAUUUUUUUGGAGUUUCUUUCGGCACUUUGUUGCUGACAUUUUUUUUUUGUUUUCGAGUUGCUUAUUGGUAAAUUAUGAACUUCCAUAAAACGAAAUGUUCAUAUUUCUGUGGCGCAGAGGAAUAACCAAUAAGUUGAUACUUCAUAGGAUUGGGCUUUUUGUCAAAAUUUGAUGUCGUAAAUUUAUUCUACAGAAAUCCAUGUAGAAGUAUGCAUAGGUUGAUUUUUUUUAAUGAGUAAUUAAUUGGCGGUAAGAUUUGGUAAUUGUAUAAGAUGGUAAUUAUCAAAUUAUAGCAUAUUUGGGAA